rnacentral:rRNA from 1 species
AUUGAACGCUGGCGGCAGGCCUAACACAUGCAAGUCGAACGGCAGCACAGAAGAGCUUGCUCUUUGGGUGGCGAGUGGCGGACGGGUGAGUAAUGUCUGGGAAACUGCCCGAUGGAGGGGGAUAACUACUGGAAACGGUAGCUAAUACCGCAUAACGUCGCGAGACCAAAGUGGGGGACCGUCGGGCCUCACACCAUCGGAUGAGCCCAGAUGGGAUUAGCUAGUCGGGGGGGUAAUGGCUCACCUAGGCGAGGAUCCCUAGCUGGUCUGAGAGGAUGACCAGACACACUGGAACUGAGACACGGUCCAGACUCCUACGGGAGGCAGCAGUGGGGAAUAUUGCACAAUGGGCGCAAGCCUGAUGCAGCCAUGCCGCGUGUAUGAAGAAGGCCUUCGGGUUGUAAAGUACUUUCAGCGGGGAGGAAGGCGGUGAGGUUAAUAACCUUGCCGAUUGACGUUACCCGCAGAAGAAGCACCGGCUAACUCCGUGCCAGCCGCCGCGGUAA